rnacentral:rRNA from 1 species
CCUACGGGGGGCAGCAGUGAGGAAUAUUGGUCAAUGGGCUUACGCCUGAACCAGCCAAGUCGCGUGAGGGAAGACUGCCCUAUGGGUUGUAAACCUCUUUUGUCAGGGAGCAACGCCGGCUACGUGUAGCCGGACUGAGAGUACCUGAAGAAAAAGCAUCGGCUAACUCCGUGCCAGCAGCCGCGGUAAUACGGGGGAUGCGAGCGUUAUCCGGAUUUAUUGGGUUUAAAGGGUGCGUAGGCGGAAUGCGAAGGCAGCGGUAAAAUCGCGGGGCUCAACCUCGCUCCGCCGUUGAGACCGGCGUUCGUGAGUGGGCGAGAAGUAUGCGGAAUGCGUGGUGUAGCGGUGAAAUGCAUAGAGAUCACGCAGAACUCCGAUUGCGAAGGCAACAUACCGGCGCCCAACUGACGCUGAAGCACGAAAGCGUGGGUAUCGAACAGGAUUAGAUACCCCUGUAGUC